rnacentral:rRNA from 1 species
AUUGAACGCUGGCGGCAGGCCUAACACAUGCAAGUCGAGCGGAUGAAGGGAGCUUGCUCCUGGAUUCAGCGGCGGACGGGUGAGUAAUGCCUAGGAAUCUGCCUGGUAGUGGGGGAUAACGUCCGGAAACGGGCGCUAAUACCGCAUACAUCCUGAGGGAGAAAGUGGGGGAUCUUCGGACCUCACGCUAUCAGAUGAGCCUAGGUCGGAUUAGCUAGUUGGUGGGGUAAAGGCCUACCAAGGCGACGAUCCGUAACUGGUCUGAGAGGAUGAUCAGUCACACUGGAAAUGAAACACGGUCCAGACUCCUGCGGGAGGCAGCAGUGGGGCAUAUUGGACAAUGGGCGAAAGCCUGAUCCAGCCAUGCCGCGUGUGUGAAGAAAGUCUUCGGAUUGUAAAGCACUUUAAGUUGGGAGGAAGGGCAGUAAGUUAAUACCUUGCUGUUUUGACGUUACCAACAGAAUAAGCACCGGCUAACUACGUG